rnacentral:misc_RNA from 1 species
GCAAACUUGGUCAUUUAGAGGAAGUAAAAGUCGUAACAAGGUUUCCGUAGGUGAACCUGCGGAAGGAUCAUCAUUGAAUCUAAUUUCUAAACACCCUGUGAACUGUGUGCGGUACGGGGAUGCGUGUCGGUGGUUAGUGGCGACGGAAAGUUGCUACUUGCUUCUUGAACCCGCCCCCUACCGUGUGCUAUGUGUUGUGCUCUUGUGUGUAAUGUGCAUGCAUGCGCAGAAGUAGCAGCAACAAAACACAAACUCUAACGUGUUUACACUUUUAAUUGUGAAUCUGAAGUGAUUUUUCAUAUUAAUGUAAAAAAUACAAAACAACUUUCAACAAUGGAUCUCUUGGCUCUCGCAUCGAUGAAGAACGCAGC